AGUUUGAUCCUGGCUCAGAACGAACGCUGGCGGCAGGCUUAACACAUGCAAGUCGAACGCCCCGCAAGGGGAGUGGCAGACGGGUGAGUAACGCGUGGGAAUCUACCGUGCCCUGCGGAAUAGCUCCGGGAAACUGGAAUUAAUACCGCAUACGCCCUACGGGGGAAAGAUUUAUCGGGGUAUGAUGAGCCCGCGUUGGAUUAGCUAGUUGGUGGGGUAAAGGCCUACCAAGGCGACGAUCCAUAGCUGGUCUGAGAGGAUGAUCAGCCACAUUGGGACUGAGACACGGCCCAAACUCCUACGGGAGGCAGCAGUGGGGAAUAUUGGACAAUGGGCGCAAGCCUGAUCCAGCCAUGCCGCGUGAGUGAUGAAUGCCUUAGGGUUGUAAAGCUCUUUCACCGGAGAGGAUAAUGACGGUAUCCGGAGAAGAAGCCCCGGCUAACUUCGUGCCAGCAGCCGCGGUAA
rnacentral:rRNA from 1 species